rnacentral:rRNA from 1 species
UACAGAGGUCUCAAGCGUUGUUCGGAUUCAUUGGGCGUAAAGGGUGCGUAGGUGGCGCCGUAAGUCGGGUGUGAAAUCUUGGAGCUUAACUCCGAAACUGCAUUCGAUACUGCCGUGCUUGAGGACUGGAGAGGAGACUGGAAUUUACGGUGUAGCGGUGAAAUGCGUAGAUAUCGUAAGGAAGACCAGUGGCGAAGGCGGGUCUCUGGACAGUUCCUGACGCUGAGGCACGAAGGUCAGGGGAGCAAACGGG